rnacentral:piRNA from 1 species
UGUCCUAUAUAAGUGUUUGCUGUUACU